GACGAACGCUGGCGGCGUGCUUCACACAUGCACGUCGCACGAGUGGCGGACGGGUGAGUAAUGUCUGGGAAACUGCCUGAUGGAGUGGGAUAACUACUGGAAACGGUAGCUAAUACCGCAUACCAUCGGAUGUGCCCAUAUGGGAUUAGCUAGUAGGUGGGGUAACGGCUCACCUAGGCGACGAUCCCUAGCUGGUUUGAGAGGAUGACCAGCCACACUGGAACUGAGACACGGUCCAGACUCCGACGGGAGGCAGCAGUGGGGAAUAUUGCACAAUGGGCGCAAGCCGGAUGCAGCCAUGCCGCGUGGAUGAAGAAGGCCUUCGGGUUGUAAAGUACUUUCAGCGGGGAGGCGUUACCCGCAGAAGAAGCACCGGCUAACUCCGUGCCAGCAGCCGCGGUAAUAC
rnacentral:rRNA from 1 species